rnacentral:rRNA from 1 species
AGCGAACGCUGGCGGCAGGCCUAACACAUGCAAGUCGAACGAUCCUUCGGGAUAGUGGCGGACGGGUGAGUAACACGUGGGAACGUGCCCUUUGGUUCGGAACAACUCAGGGAAACUUGAGCUAAUACCGAAUGUGCCCUUCGGGGGAAAGAUUUAUCGCCAUUGGAGCGGCCCGCGUCUGAUUAGCUAGUUGGUGAGGUAACGGCUCACCAAGGCGACGAUCAGUAGCUGGUCUGAGAGGAUGAUCAGCCACAUUGGGACUGAGACACGGCCCAAACUCCUACGGGAGGCAGCAGUGGGGAAUCUUGCGCAAUGGGCGAAAGCCUGACGCAGCCAUGCCGCGUGAAUGAUGAAGGUCUUAGGAUUGUAAAAUUCUUUCGCCGGGGACGAUAAUGACGGUACCCGGAGAAGAAGCUCCGGCUAACUUCGUGCCAGCAGCCGCAGUAAAAC